rnacentral:lncRNA from 1 species
GACUUAUCAGUUAGACCGACUUGUUUCUAGUCCACCCUGAUUUGACUUAGUGAAGUCAGUGGGAGGAUUGAGAUUAAUUGAUCUAUAUAUUUAAUUUUGAUAAAUUAUGUUAAUCAAAUCUUCUAAAUUAUUAGAUCCAUAAAAUGAGCUAGUUAUGGUGAUAACUAGACAUAGCCUCCCAUUAAGGUGAAUGAUAAUGGAUCCAUUAUUUCUAAUUGAUACUUCAGGCGCC